CAGCACAGAGGAGCUUGCUCCUUGGGUGGCGAGUGGCGGACGGGUGAGGAAUACAUCGGAAUCUGCCUAUUUGUGGGGGAUAACGUAGGGAAACUUACGCUAAUACCGCAUACGACCUACGGGUGAAAGCGGAGGACCUUCGGGCUUCGCGCAGAUAGAUGAGCCGAUGUCGGAUUAGCUAGUUGGCGGGGUAAAGGCCCACCAAGGCGACGAUCCGUAGCUGGUCUGAGAGGAUGAUCAGCCACACUGGAACUGAGACACGGUCCAGACUCCUACGGGAGGCAGCAGUGGGGAAUAUUGGACAAUGGGCGCAAGCCUGAUCCAGCCAUGCCGCGUGGGUGAAGAAGGCCUUCGGGUUGUAAAGCCCUUUUGUUGGGAAAGAAAAGCAGUCGGUUAAUACCCGAUUGUUCUGACGGUACCCAAAGAAUAAGCACCGGCUAACUUCGUGCCAGCAGCCGCGGUAAUACGAAGGGUGCAAGCGUUACUCGGAAUUACUGGGCGUAAAGCGUGCGUAGGUGGUUUGUUAAGUCUGAUGUGAAAGCCCUGGGCUCAACCUGGGAAUUGCAUUGGAUACUGGCAGGCUAGAGUGCGGUAGAGGGUAGUGGAAUUCCCGGUGUAGCAGUGAAAUGCGUAGAGAUCGGGAGGA
rnacentral:rRNA from 1 species